CCCUUAGAUGUCCUGGGCCGCACGCGCGCUACACUGAUGCAUGCAACGAGUUUAUAACCUUGGCCUGAAAGGUCUGGGUAAUCUUUUGAACGUGCAUCGUGAUAGGGAUAGAUUAUUGCAAUUGUUAAUCUUGAACGAGGAAUUCCUAGUAAACGCGAGUCAUCAGCUCGCAUUGAUUACGUCCCUGCCCUUUGUACACACCGCCCGUCGCACCUACCGAUUGAAUGGUUCGGUGAAGAUCUCGGACUUCGAUAUUUAUUCUUUAUUGAGUUUAUAUUGUGGGAAGUUAUCUAAACCUCAUCAUUUAGAGGAAGGUGAAGUCGUAGCA
rnacentral:rRNA from 1 species